rnacentral:rRNA from 1 species
GACGAACGCUGGCGGCGUGCUUAACACAUGCAAGUCGAACGGUGAAGCGCCUUCCUUUUUGGUGGGUGUGGAUGAGUGGCGAACGGGUGAGUAACACGUGAGUAACCUGCCCCCUUCUUCUGGAUAACCGCAUGAAAGUGUGGCUAAUACUGGAUAUUCUGGGUCUGUCGCAUGAUGGGUCUGGGAAAGAUAUUGUUUCGGUGGGGGAUGGGCUCGCGGCCUAUCAGCUUGUUGGUGGGGUGAUGGCCUACCAAGGCGGUGACGGGUAGCCGGCCUGAGAGGGUGGACGGUCACACUGGGACUGAGACACGGCCCAGACUCCUACGGGAGGCAGCAGUGGGGAAUAGUGCACAAUGGGCGCAAGCCUGAUGCAGCGACGCCGCGUGAGGGAUGGAGGCCUUCGGGUUGUGAACCUCUUUCGCCAGUGAAGCAGGACUGCCUCGUGUGUGGGUGGGUUGACGGUAGCUGGAUAAGAAGCGCCGGCUAACUACGUG